rnacentral:rRNA from 1 species
CCUACGGGAGGCAGCAGUGGGGAAUAUUGGGCAAUGGGCGAAAGCCUGACCCAGCAAUGCCGCGUGAAUGAAGAAGGUCUUAGGAUUGUAAAAUUCUGUCCUAUGGGAAGAAAAAAAUGACGGUACUUGAGGAGGAAGCCCCGGCUAACUACGUGCCAGCAGCCGCGGUAAUACGUAGGGGGCUAGCGUUAUCCGGAAUUACUGGGCGUAAAGGGUGCGUAGGUGGUUUCUUAAGUCAGAGGUGAAAGGCUACGGCUCAACCGUAGUAAGCCUUUGAAACUGGGGAACUUGAGUGCAGGAGAGGAGAGUGGAAUUCCUAGUGUAGCGGUGAAAUGCGUAGAUAUUAGGAGGAACACCAGUUGCGAAGGCGGCUCUCUGGACUGUAACUGACACUGAGGCACGAAAGCGUGGGGAGCAAACAGGAUUAGAUACCCCAGUAGUC